UUGUGGAGGAGAACGCCGAAGGUGGGGCUAAUGACUGGGGUGAAGUCGUAACAAGGUAGCCGUACCGGAAGGUGCGGCUGGAUCACCUCCUAACAGGGAGACAACAAAAUGUAAAUAUUAAUUUUGUCACCUUAGGUCGAUCGGUAUCUCAGAUUCUUAAUUAUUUAAGAAUAUCAGUUUCUAAGUUUUUUCUAGGUCACACCCAUCACUUUUUCCUGGGCCAUUAGCUCAGGUGGUUAGAGCGCACCCCUGAUAAGGGUGAGGUCCCUGGUUCAAGUCCAGGAUGGCCCAUAUCUCUAUGUUGGGGGUAUAGCUCAGUUGGUAGAGCGCCUGCUUUGCAAGCAGGAUGUCAGCGGUUCGAGUCCGCUUACCUCCACUGAAUACCACCUCUUACAUAUAGUUGAAGUGGGAAAUUGUUUUGAGUCGUGUCCUAAUUUGCUCUGAGCGAAUCUAGCUUCCUAUUUUAUCCAAGAAAUAAGAUGCUGGACUCAUUGAAUUUUUUUUCAUUGUUUUCAGAGAACCUUGACAACUGCAUAGAUUAUUUUUAAAGACAAUAAGCAUCUUUAAUGAUGCAGAUUUAUUAUUUGUGCGAAUGCAUUAAAUAACAAUUCUAUUAAGCUGAUGCUUCAAUUAUUGAAGUUAUUGGUCAAGCUACAA
rnacentral:misc_RNA from 1 species